AUCUAUACUAAUAGAAAAAGAGCGAAUGACAAUUUAAGGGACAACUUGUGGAUUGCCUAUUUUACCCCUAAAAUAUAAAUUUGUUAGUAUAGAUUAAUAAUUAUCAACAUCACGAUUUUUCAAUUAAUUUUGACUCCUUUCUUUUUUGCCUUUUUAAAGAGAAUGACUCACGAUUUUUCAAUCCAUUGACUUCAUAAUUAUCUUAAUUAAGGGAUAUAAUAUAAUUACCUAUGGAAGAAGUUCACUCUAAUUCGGUAUAUAUUUAUAUAUAUCAAAAUCUUUAUCUUAUGUACUAACUAAACUAAACUCUAAAUAUAAAUAAAAAUUAAUUAAAGUUCUAAUUCUUCUCCAACUCAAUCAAUUAUCUCCUCGCAACUAAUCAAAGCCAUCCUUCCGCACCAUCGCAUACAACCUCGCCGCCGCUGUGAGCCUCCGGUCCGCCGCGCUUCACCGUUGCUCUUAGUCUUUUCUCCGGUCGCCGCCUCCCCUCUUCGAAGGCCGGUUGAGGUCACCCGACAAGUUAAACACUUCGAAGAGAACCAUUCCGUUCGAUUUCUCGCUUAAUUAGUCGGGCAGAGAAGCUUGAAGGUGAUCUAUCAAGGUCACCGCCGUCGACUGGAAUUUCAUAAUUUCCUCCGCACAUGGGUACGCCUAUGAUAUUAUAUUCAAAUUUCAGGAGAUUAUAUUUUGUUUUCAGUAUGAAUAUGCUACAAAAUAGUUUGCGAUUUUAUGGUAUUUGAUGGUUUGUAUUUCUCAUUGCUCAAUAUCUAAGAUUAUCAAUCCCAAUAAUAAACUAAGAUAUAGAUUCAGACUCUCUCAAAA